rnacentral:tRNA from 1 species
GGGUCGGUAGCUCAGUUGGUAGAGCAGUUGACUUUUAAUCAAUUGGUCGCAGGUUCGAAUCCUGCACGACCCACCA